AUGGCGGCCGGCUCCGCGGCUACCCUCCUCGCGGCCGUCGCCUGCGCCGUCCUCGUGCUCCUCGCCCCCGCCGUCUCCGGAGAUGCUGCUACACUGGAAUCUGUUCCAGAUCUUGUGAAGGCAAUGUAUGUAAACAUUGAAAGCUUCCCUUGUGUCAGGCUGCUGAAUCUUUCUGGUGAAAUCGGCUGCUCUAAUCCUGGGCACGGCCUGGUUAUUGCACCGAUUGUAAGAUUCAAAAACAGCGAUGACCAGUUGGCUCAACCAUCUGCAGUUCUUCUUCCCUUGGAUCAGAUGCCAGCUUUCUUUCUGAGGGUAUCCAAUGAUCCAGAACUUUACCAUAAGGUUGCCGGUGUACUGGUUGAAUCAAAUGGUGACAAGUUACUAGAGUUGUCACCGGAUAGAAAAUUUCCACAAGAGGAUUUUGCACCAUACUCAAAUGUCAGCCAUGAUUGGAAUCCUUCUGGGUCAGGUAUUAUGUGGAACAGAUAUGAUUUUCCCGUGUUUCUACUUUCAGAGGAGAGCACACAGACUCUGCGAAAGAUUGCGGACAAGAAUGAGAAGUCUAGCAAUGGAUAUCAAGCAAAUGUAGCGGAAUUUGACCUUGUUAUGCAGACGACUAAAGCUGAAACAAAUGGUUCAGAGUCCUGCCUCAAAGAGCAGUCGUGCUUGCCCUUAGGAGGACAGAGUGUAUGGGCUUCGUUACCACCAAUGAGCAAUGCAUCAGCAGAGCAUCAGAAACCAAUAAUAAUGGUUGUUGCAUCCCAGGAUUCUGCAUCGUUCUUUAGGGACCGUAGUCUGGGUGCUGAUUCUCCCAUAUCAGGAUUGAUUGCUUUGCUCACUGCUGUUGAUGCUCUUUCUCACCUUCAUGAUCUAGGCAAACUCAAGAAACAGCUUGUAUUUGCUGCUUUUGAUGGUGAAGCAUGGGGUUAUCUUGGUAGCAGAAAAUUCUUACAAGAACUGGAUGAAGGUGAUGAUUCUGUGAAUGGCAUUAACAGCUCAAUGAUUGAGCAGGUACUGGAGAUUGGUUCGGUUGGCAAGGGCAUAAGCCAAGGAGAUACAUUAUUUUAUGCACAUGCUUCAAGGAAUUCAUCAAUUUCAAAGAAGAUUUUAGAUGGUCUCCAAAGUGGCAGUGAUUCACUUGGCUCUGAUAAUGUCAAAGUAAAACCAGCAGCUUCAUCAAACCCUGGUGUACCACCAUCUUCAUUGAUGUCAUUCAUGAGAAAGAAUACAUCAACUUCUGGAGUUGUGUUAGAGGACUUCGAUUCCCAGUUUUCCAAUAGAUUUUAUCACAGCCAUUUGGACAGCCCUGCAAACAUCAAUUCCUCAUCAAUAGCAGCAGCUGCUGCUUUGGUUGCGAGGUCAUUGUACAUUCUUGCUACUGGUGAUAUGACCGUCGAUCUCAUGACACUGAACACUAUAAAAGUGAACGUUACACUGGUAGAAGAAUUGAUUGGAUGUCUACUGACCUGUGAUCCCGGUCUUUCUUGUGGCAUCGCGAAGAGCUUCAUUUCUCCAAGCAAUGCCUGCCCGAGUCACUAUGUUGGUGUUUUCCAGGACUCACCUUCUAGCACGCAGUUUCCUUCAUAUGCAGAUGAUACCUCCCGGUUCAUAUGGAACUUCUUGGCAGACAGAACUUCUACUUUGGCAAGCAACGUAAGCUCUUGUACUGUGAAGUGCAACAACGAAAGUGAAGUAUGCGUAGGGGGAGAAGUGGAGGGUGGAGGCCGGUGCGUUGUAUCGACAACAAGGUACGUUCCUGCCUAUUCAACCAGGCUGAAGUUCGAGGACAACGCCUGGCACGUUCUUCCGGCAAACUCUUCUGACCCCAUGGGUGCAGCGGACCCCGUAUGGACCGAGAGCUACUGGAACACCAUCAGCCUGAGGGUCUACGCGGUGCAGUCCACGACCUCCGACAGGCUCAUCCUUCUCGCCGGGCUCGCCGUCACCGCGGCGUCGUAUCUCGGGGUGGUCGUCGGCAGAGCAUACAUCUCGAAGAUCACGAAGCGAGACUGA
rnacentral:rRNA from 1 species